rnacentral:rRNA from 1 species
UGGGGAAUAUUGCACAAUGGGGGAAACCCUGAUGCAGCGACGCCGCGUGAACGAAGAAGGUAUUCGUAUCGUAAAGUUCUGUCCUAUGGGAAGAUAAUGACAGUACCAUAGAAGAAAGCUCCGGCUAAAUACGUGCCAGCAGCCGCGGUAAUACGUAUGGAGCGAGCGUUGUCCGGAAUUAGUGGGCGUAAAGGGUACGCAGGCGGUUUAAUAAGUCGAAUGUUAAAGAUCGGGGCUCAACCCCGCAAAGCAUUGGAAACUGAUAGACUUGAGUAGUGGAGAGGAGAGUGGAAUUCCUAGUGUAGUGGUGAAAUACGUAGAUAUUAGGAGGAAUACCAGUAGCGAAGGCGACUUUCUGGACACAAACUGACGCUGGGGUACGAAAGCGUGGGGAGCAAACAGG